rnacentral:lncRNA from 1 species
UAUGUAUUAAAAAUGUCAAAUGCAGAAGCGUAACAAAAUUUUUGAUUAGCAUCCCUUACACAAUAACUAAAACGUACUCAAAACAUGAAAGAACAAACUAACUAAAAGAGAUACUCGAAAUAAGAACUAUAAAUAUAGCUAUGGAGUCUUUAGGCAUCCCCUUCGCCGUCUUCCUACGGAAUGGGCUCGGGAACAAUGUCUUCCUGAUCUGAAAUAGUUAAAUAAGGAAUGAGCUACACCAGCCCAGUAAAGACAUCACACUAUCUCACCGCCACGGAAGUAAAGGUAGGUAGAAAACAAAAAUGACCAAUAGAGCAUAAUUUAUAACAAACUCAUUUAUUAACAUAAAAACCUUUGCUGUCCACUUACCUCAGUGAGAUCCAUGAAAACAACAUAUGAAAGCAAUAACAUUAUCAUCAUCAUGAGAUCAUAUAAACUUUAUACCAUAAUACUUACCACGCCAUUGCAUUUCAAUCAUUAAACAACAUAUUUUCCUCUUUUACCAGCCUACUAGUAUCCAUGGGAAUCCAUAGGGGGUCCCCGCUACCCAUGAACCAUUAACAUUACAACCUGAUUCCAGGGCCGUCCCCAUACCCCGUCCGGUAUGGGCGCCAAAACCAUGAACCUCAAUACCCCGUCCGGUAUGGGCACCAAAAUCAUGAACCUCAAUACCCCGUCCGGUAUGGGCGCCAAAACACAUAAGGUCUCCAUACCCCAUCCGGUAUGAGAGACCACGUUCCCGGUAGGGUUCCCUACGGAUCCGAUCCGUCCACCAUCUCCCAGGAUAUCUAGUCAGGCUGUCCACAUUUUCUACUUAUCAAUUCACAUAACAUUUUUGCCCUUUUUUUUCUUAAUCUCAAUCAUCCAAUCAUACACAUUAUGUAAACCAAUAAUUGACACCAAAUAAGACAACACAAUAUCAGGUUCACCAUAAUACAAACCAUAAUAAAAGAAACCAUGAUUCAUGCAUACGAGACCAUAACAUAAUUACAUCAAACAUCAUGCUGCAUUUAAUACUAAAAAUUAGAUCAAACAAUAACAGACCAACACUGUAUCAGACUCGGGCUCCAUUGGCAAC